AGUCAUUCCUAUAGCAUACAGCUCAUUCUCCACCCACAUCUCUAAGGGCCUUGAAAGAGGUGACACCAUUAAGAUCAAAGUUUUAAUAAACAUGAUAGCUUCUUUGAAGAAGAAGAAGAAGAAGAAGAAGAAGAAGAAGAAGAAGAAGAAGAAGAAGAACAAGAACAAGAAGAAGAAGAAGCAAACUAUAUCCUCUGCUUUGCACAAUAUAUUUAUGAGGAAUCCAUGUUGUAUGCAACUUUACAAUCAAAACUUGCAACGUUCAUUUCUCUGCUUGCAUUUCCAUCCAAAUCAAUUAAGAGGAGAACUUUGCUGCAGCUAGCAAGCUGGCCAGUAGAGGCCUCUUUGGAUGCGCCUUAUGAUGAAAGGACAUUUCGAAUGUGCCUGAAAUCAGAUGCUGCUUGCUGAACUACUUGAAAGAUUCUGUUGCAUAAGGAAAAGAGAGAGAGAAGGAGAAGAGAAAAGAAAAGAUUACUCUUUAAUGCCCUUUAAGUUGCAAGAUGUUGAUUAAUGUUGCCCUUUACAUUAAUGAUGUUUCAAGUAAAAGAAAACAAAUUUAAAAUGGAUAAAUUCUAUUGAGGAUGCAUUAAUUAAGCAGAGACUUUACCAUAUGCUGUGGCUGAAGUUCAGGCUGGCCUUUCUGUUGUAGUUACCUGUGUAAAAUCCACCCCAUCCUCUACAUGAAUGCCCAAGCUCAAUAGCCAUUUGAAUGAAGGCUUUAGUUUGAUUCGCCAUACAAGGGGGACUGUGUCAGUGUGUUUUCUUUCUAGGAGUCACUAAGUGAUUUCUAUAUCUGUUGUCAUGGUGAUAUUGCAAAGCAGGGGAAAAUGGGGAAAGGGAGGGUUAACUUCAGGCUUUCUCUACACCCUCUGCACUGAGAACGAAGAUGUUGUUUAGCAGGGCCUAUAAAACACUGGCCUUUCUCUGGGCCUUCUUUUUGUUCUCUGAUUGUCAAUAAAACUCAUUUUAAAGGGAACAAGGACAUCUAAAUGUCAUCUGUCACAGUGUUAGAGAGAUUAAGUUUGUUUAGGAACUUAUGCAGGACAAAAGGCCACUAUUUGCUGGGCAGAUACAAAGCAGCAAUGCCUAUCAGGGCUCUUGAUUUAGAAGGAGCAGAGGGAAGGCCGAGCAGGAAAGAUCAGCUCACUUGCAGGUGAUGGCAAGAGCAUCCUUGACAUGACAAGCAUCAGAAACACACAACACGGCCGCCAUAAAUAUGGUGUGCCAUUCAAGCCUUUUUUCCUCCUUUGUUUUGCUUCGUGGUUUCUUUCUCCAGCCAUUUCUUUGCACCUUUUAAAAGGAGGCCUUCAGCUGCUCUUCAGGCCAGAGACCUGCCUUUUGCUUGUAUUACUAAAGCAACAUGCACGCCGAUGGUCAUCAUAAUGAGCUGAGAGACUGACUACACACCGAAAACUUCAUAUGGCAGA